GUACUAUGAAGAGUCCCAAAAUAGGACGAAACAGCUGUCCAGUAU
rfam:Trichobilharzia regenti genome assembly, scaffold: TRE_scaffold0008431